rnacentral:misc_RNA from 1 species
UUUCCGUAGGUGAACCUGCGGAAGGAUCAUUAUUGUAUAACCGAGGUGCGAGGGCUGUCGCUGACCCGAAAGGUCGUGCACGCCCGAGUGCCCUCACACACAUCCAUCUCACCCCUAUGUGCACCACCGCGUGGGUCCCCCAUUGGCUUGUUCGGAGGGGGGCUUACGUUUUCACACAAACUUUGUAUGCAGUGUAGAAUGUAUUUUUGUUUUUGCGAUCACGCAAUCAAUACAACUUUCAACAACGGAUCUCUUGGCUCUC